GAGGGUAUAGCUCAGUAGAAGAGCCCGUGCUUAGCACACACAAGGUCCUGGGUUCAAUCCCCAGUACCUCCA
rnacentral:tRNA from 1 species